rnacentral:rRNA from 1 species
GACGAACGCUGGCGGCGUUCCUAAUACAUGCAAGUCGAACGACUGGCUGACGGGUUAGUAACACGUAUCCAACCUUCCCUUUACUCGGGUAUAGCCUUUCGAAAGUAAGAUUAAUACCCGAUAUAAAGGAUGGGGAUGCGUUCCAUUAGUUUUUUGGUGAGGUAACGGCUAACCAAGCCUUCGAUGGAGAGGGGUUCGGAGGGGAAGGUCCACCACAUUGGAACUGAGGCACGGUCCAAAAUCCUACGGGAGGCAGGAGUGAGGAAUAUUGGUCAAUGGGCGCUGGCCUGAACCAGCCAAGUAGAGUGAAGGAUGAAGGCUGAUGGGUCGUAAACUUCUUUUAUAUAAGAAUAUGUAUUAUAUGAAUAAGGAUCGGCUAACUCCGUGCCAGCAGCCGCGGUAAUUC